rnacentral:sRNA from 1 species
UGACGUGUUUACGACGACGUCGACUGC